rnacentral:rRNA from 1 species
ACGCACGCUGGCGGCGUGCUUAACCCAUGCAAGUCGAACGGAAAGGCCCUGCUUGCAGGGUACUCGAGUGGCGAACGGGUGAGUAACACGUGGGUGAUCUGCCCUGCACUUCGGGAUAAGCCUGGGAAACUGGGUCUAAUACCGGAUAGGAGCCAUUUUUAGUGUGAUGGUUGGAAAGUUUUUUCGGUGUAGGAUGAGCUCGCGGCCUAUCAGCUUGUUGGUGGGGUAAUGGCCUACCAAGGCGGCGACGGGUAGCCGGCCUGAGAGGGUGGAUGGCCACAUUGGGACUGAGAUACGGCCCAGACUCCUACGGGAGGCAGCAGUGGGGAAUAUUGCACAAUGGGCGCAAGCCUGAUGCAGCGACGCCGCGUGGGGGAUGACGGCCUUCGGGUUGUAAACUCCUUUCGCUAGGGACGAAGCUUUUUGUGACGGUACCUAGAUAAGAAGCACCGGCUAACUACGUG